rnacentral:rRNA from 1 species
GACGAACGCUGGCGGCGUGCUUAGCACAUGCAAGUCGAACGGAAAGGCCCUGCUUUUGUGGGGUGCUCGAGUGGCGAACGGGUGAGUAACACGUGAGUAACCUGCCCUUGACUUUGGGAUAACUUCAGGAAACUGGGGCUAAUACCGGAUAGGAGCUCCUGCUGCAUGGUGGGGGUUGGAAAGUUUCGGCGGUUGGGGAUGGACUCGCGGCUUAUCAGCUUGUUGGUGGGGUAGUGGCUUACCAAGGCUUUGACGGGUAGCCGGCCUGAGAGGGUGACCGGCCACAUUGGGACUGAGAUACGGCCCAGACUCCUACGGGAGGCAGCAGUGGGGAAUAUUGCACAAUGGGCGGAAGCCGGAUGCAGCAACGCCGCGUGCGGGAUGACGGCCUUCGGGUUGUAAACCGCUUUCGCCUGUGACGAAGCGUGAGUGACGGUAAUGGGUAAAGAAGCACCGGCUAACUACGU